GACGAAGGGGGCUAGCGUUGUUCGGAAUUAUUGGGCGUAAAGCGCACGUAGGCGGCUUAGCAAGUCGGAAGUGAAAGCCCUCGGCUCAACCAAGGAAGUGCUUUCGAAACUGCUGAGCUUGAGUAGUUAAGAGGAUCGCGGAAUUCCCGGUGUAGAGGUGAAAUUCGUAGAUAUCGGGAGGAACACCAGUGGCGAAGGCGGCGAUCUGGGAACAUACUGACGCUGAGGUGCGAAAGCGUGGGGAGCAAACAGG
rnacentral:rRNA from 1 species